rnacentral:misc_RNA from 1 species
CGACCAUGUUGUCGGGGACUCUAGACUGGUGAUUCUCGUUCACUUGUUGGAUCAAAUUUCUGUUCCUAUCAAGUACCGAUUGGACUCGCCGGAAAGUGGAGUUGAAUGUUGCCCAUACCUCAGGGUCUCCUUCAUCGUCGUCGACGUCACUGGUGUGUUUGUGGCGGCGCUUGACAGCUUUGGGAUUGGAGGUGUCGUCCAUGGUGGAUUAGGCGGUGGAGGCGACGGCGAGCGAGANCGGCGAGCGAGAGAGGUCAUGCGGUAAUUAGGAGUGCUUUUGAUUCGACAUUGAGUUGCUUCGUG